GUUGAAAGCUCCGGCGGUGCAGGAUGAGCCCGCGGCCUAUCAGCUAGUUGGUGAGGUAGAAGCUCACCAAGGCGACGACGGGUAGCCGGCCUGAGAGGGCGACCGGCCACACUGGGACUGAGACACGGCCCAGACUCCUACGGGAGGCAGCAGUGGGGAAUAUUGCACAAUGGGCGAAAGCCUGAUGCAGCGACGCCGCGUGAGGGAUGACGGCCUUCGGGUUGUAAACCUCUUUCAGCAGGGAAGAAGCGAAAGUGACGGUACCUGCAGAAGAAGCGCCGGCUAACUACGUGCCAGCAGCCGCGGUAAUACGUAGGGCGCAAGCGUUGUCCGGAAUUAUUGGGCGUAAAGAGCUCGUAGGCGGCUUGUCACGUCGGUUGUGAAAGCCCGGGGCUUAACCCCGGGUCUGCAGUCGAUACGGGCAGGCUAGAGUGUGGUAGGGGAGAUCGGAAUUCCUGGUGUAGCGGUGAAAUGCGCAGAUAUCAGGAGGAACACCGGUGGCGAAGGCGGAUCUCUGGGCCAUUACUGACGCUGAGGAGCGAAAGCGUGGGGAGCGAACAGGAUUAGAUACCCUGGUAGUCCACGCCGUAAACGGUGGGAACUAGGUGUUGGCGACAUUCCACGUCGUCGGUGCCGCAGCUAACGCAUUAAGUUCCCCGCCUGGGGAGUA
rnacentral:rRNA from 1 species